AGACGAAUGGCGUUCGCUGUAUCAAGAAAUUUUCUCAUCAACUGACCAUGUUUUAAGAAAGAAAAGACUGCAAAGGGAGCUGGAAUAGGCAUCGUCUUACGAAGAUCCGGAUUAAUAUUUUAAUGUAAGUAGAGCAUUUUAAUUUAUUUUUAAAUAUCCUGAGAUACUAUACAUAUUGCAUGUAAUUUAAGAGUAAAUCAUUCAAGUUUUAGUUGAAAUUUAAUUGUGAUUUUUUAUCUAAAUAAAUACAUUCGUGUAUACUCAUCUAAAGAAUUCAUUCUGUAUUAUUACUUUAAACAAAGGUGCUUUUUGAAGGCAAAAUUAACAGCCUCGUAUAGGUUCUACUUAUUAGUGCCUCAAUUAACAUUCUUGGUUGGUUUCAUUAGCAUUUUAACUUUCACUUUUCUAAAGCAAUUUAGUAAAAUUUUAGAAAUAUAUUUAAUGAAGAAAAAUAAAUUAGCCGUCAAUAUUUGUAAUUUUUGUACGUUUAAUUGAAAAAAUAGAAGAAUGAAAAUUGAAAACAAGUUCAUAAAAACAAUAAAGAAAACAGUUUUUGGUCCAAAAAAUUUAUUUAAUCAAGUAAGGUUAAAUUUAUUUUAAACAUGCCUACAAUAGAAUGCCUUGAAUAGUUCAUAUCUUCUUAAUACUUAGCUGUUAAAACUGCAGUUGCGCCGAAAGCUCAUUUAAUGGGACAACAUAUAUAUUAUUCUUAUUGUGUUGUAUAUAAGCUUUAUUACAAUAUAUAGAUAUAAACUGCAUAUUUUGUAUAUUUUUUUAAAUAAUUUAUAGCUUAAUCUUAAUUCAAAAGGUCAGUACAACUUCUAAAAAGGGCGAUUUCUGCAUUAGGAUAAAAACCAUUUCAACAUUUUUAAUGAGUCGGUUAUUAAUAUCUAUUUUUAUACAAAUCUUAAAGGAAAUAAACCGAUUCAUGAGUCACGCAGUAUUCAUUAAACAUUUAACUAUUGGUAAACACAUAAAAUUUUAUCGAGCCUAUUAACAUCCAUUUCAUCAGAUGCCGUUCCAGUUACCGAUGUAGGAAUAUUUUCCAAAUACCGUUUUCGUGUUUGGCACAUUCGUACUAUCUCCCAGACAAUUAUGUGUAGAGAACUAACAAAACGUCUAAAUGGGGCAAUUAUCGUAGGCUAUGCAGGUUGCCGAAUAAUUAGUGGCCUGCUAAUAGUUUUCAUCACCAAUAGUUUCAUACGGAUCGCCGCACAGAACAGCAUCAGAUGAUCACCGGCUCUCGGUUGGAUCGCAUCAGUCUUUGGUUGUGGUCCGAAUGGAAUAGUCGUUUCGUUAAAAACAAUGCGUUGGCCUACAUCUAGUUUUAUUAAUUACUUUUUGGAAUUCGUCUCGAUGUGGAAGGCGCUACCUGAAUUCGAUGCUGACGGAUGGUGUAAGUCAAAACAAGUUGGUGUCCAUCGGCAUCAAUAUUAGUGCCCUACAUCUACCCUGUAGAUCCGAAUUUGUUUGAAGAGAGGCGACAAAUUCGGUUCUAGAGAGGUUUGUGUGGGGCAUGCACUGCAACUAUCAAGACGAUGGUGACGGGAUGAAGAUAAGAUUUGGCACACAGAUUGACAUUGCCAUUGACACAAUAACGUUCAAUCAACGUAUCAAUCCAAGACCGUGCUAGAAUCGUGUCAGGUAGAAAAAUAAUACAUAUUUGUAUUGAAUGUUGUGUGAAAUGAGAAUACGCCUAUUAGACCGUUCUGUCACCGUCCAACGUAGUCACUUGCUAUCACAGACCUGUAUAAAUACCACUGGACAAGCUGUUCCAUAUGUUUGACAGCAAAAUUUUUAUGUCUACGUGAAGCGCCACUCGCGGGUGUCCAAAGAACUAAUUUUAACGUAUAAUACAAAUGGCUGCGAAGGCAUGUACAAUAAAUACUCUGGAGUAUUUAUGCAUUUUGAAAUAAUUUCGCUCGUUUUCCGUGUUCAUUUUUACUUUAAGAAUCAACUUACACAAGGCGAUUUGCACGAACUCAUGAACUCAUGUUGCAUUCUAAGCCUUUGUACUUCAUUGUCACUCUCAAACUUAUGACUUAUCAAUCUAAAUAUAAAUAUUCUGAUAGAGAGUUAACAACUGUAGUUAAUCUAUCAACUAUAGUUAGCUAAAAUUAAGUUUAUUUUUUACCUCCUGAGAAAGUUAAAAAGAUAAUAUAAAGAUUCUAAUUAGUUAUUCAUUUUAAACUAUUCUUUCAAUUUAUUUCUGAACGAUUGGGGACACAUAAAAGGAAAAAUAAAAUUGUUGUUUUUAUUUAAUUCUGAGCAUUUACAUAUUUAUUCAUAACCUUCCUUGAACUUUCCACAAAUAAUUCAAGAUCAAAAUUAGCCAAAUCGGUCCAGCCGUUCUCGAGCUUUAGCGAGACUUACGAACAGCAAUUCAUUUUUAUGUAUAUAGAUUUUUCACUGAAGUUUAUUAGCGACGAGGUAGAACCGGGUAUCAUGGCGUUCCGAUAGUAUUCCAACAUUCCAUCCCCGUAGUUCUAUAUUAAAUGCGGUUUCAUAAUAUCAAUAUCAACACAAUAGUGUAAUCAUUAUGUCUUCUAAAAGUAUUUUUUGUAAGUGCAACAAAGAGCACAUACACAUCGCCUUGCGGGCACCGAGUGUUUGCUAUUACAAUCUAAGCAUAUCAUAUUUCUAACAUUAUCUUUAAUAUUCAUCAUCACCAUUAUUAUCAGCCGGAAAACGUCCACUGCUGGACAAAGGCCUCCCCCAAAAAUUUCCACGACGAUCGGUCCUGCGCUGCCCUCAUCCAACGUAUUCCGGCGAUCUUGACCAGAUCGUCGGUCUAUCUUGUGGGGGGCCUGCCAACACUGCGUCUUCCGGUACGUGGUCGCCAUUCGAGGACUUUACUGCCCCAACGGCCAUCUGUCCGUCGAACUAUGUACUGCCCACUGCCACUUCAGUUUCGCAAUCGUUUGGACUAUGUCGGUUAUUUUGACUAAUAUUAUGUUCCUUAAAUUGAAUAUUAAUCGUUCCUUUAUGAAUUUUUAUCUAUAGAUAUAUGUACUAUAGUAUUUAGUAUAUGCUUAUCUAUUGUUGGUAAUGUGAUUUAAUCUGAAUUAUAAUAUAUUUCGUUCAUAGGUAUUGUAAAUUCAAAUUUAUUGUCUUUUUAAGCAAAAUAGGAUAUUAAAUCACUGGUUUAAAUUAGAUUUGAUCAAUAUUAUUUUGUAAAAAAUAAUGCUUUUAAUUUUUUAUUCGCUCUUUUUUAUGUAAACAAGAUUGACAAUUCAUAAGAAUUAAAAAUAUACUCUAUUCGUACUGUUUACAAUAUCUUUUAUGUAAUCAAAUGGUAACCUAAUUACAUUUGGUUUUUUGGGGGUAGGGUAGGUAUAUACAUCAAUUCAUCACUUUAGUUUAUUUUUUUGUUGUGUUUUAAUUGGAUAAGCUUAAUAAUAAAAAUUUCAUAUAUCAGUAACUCUAUACAGGUGAAAAGAAAGAAAAUUCAAUCUAGUUUGACUGGUUUAAAAUUUGAAAAGUGACCCGAUUAGUUAUUGAAGGAUAUUUAGAGAAUAGGUAAAACUAUUUAAAAGCUGAAGUAAUAAAAUUACACAGAGUAUUUAUCAAAUAAUAUGUGUAUGUAUGUAAUAUGAAAUAAGUUGUUAUUUUGUAAUAAGAUAGAUCGUUCCAUAUUUCGCUGUUAUAUCUCGAUUAAAAUUUGUAUGACAAUUUAAAGUUAGCUUAUAUUACCUAACGAACAAUGAAUAAUUAAAUGCCUCCCAAUAUUGAAA